AUGUUUUGUUUCUCACCUCCUUGCGGUCUCAGUUUUCCAAUCCAUCCCUUUCUCUGGCGCUUGCUUCACUUCUACGACAUGCAAUUCCACCACCUUGCCCCUAACACGAUUCUACACAUAACCUGCUUCGUUACCUUCUAUGAAGCAUUCUUGUGCUUCCGGGCAAGCUUUGAGUUGUGGUGCAAAUUCUUCACCGUGAAGCUCCAAAGCAAUGGCGCAAUGGCAUGUGAGUGCGGUGACGGCGAGAUCAACAAGAUCCAGGGCAUCGUCUACCUACAGAGGUCGUUCAUCAGGACUAUCAAGAACUGGCAGGAGGAGUGGUUUUACAUCUCGGAUAUGCUACUGGAGAAUCCUCCUCGGGACGGGAUAGUCACUCCCUUCGAUCUGACGCCUUCCUCCAAGCUUAAUUCCUGGAAGCCGAGGAACAACACCUCGAAUGAUUUCAGGGAGGUGGAGAAGGUGGCCCGCUGGGUCGAGGAGGAGCUGACUCUGGAUCAGAUGAUGCACGUGGCUCUCAGCCAUGGCAUCCAGCCCCUUCAGGCCUGA
rnacentral:rRNA from 1 species